AGUUGCAAAGCUUUUUGGGAAAUAAACUAGUUGCAGAGCAGCAAAGAUUGGAUCGACAACCUCUAGCCUUAUUUUUUUAUGCUUUUAUCUUUCAAUGGAGUUGUUAUCUAUUGAAAACAGAAGAAGAAAAAAAAAAAAGUGAACAGAUUAAACCUUCCAGCCUCUAGCCUUAUGAUUAUUAUUUUUUAUGCUUUUAUCUUUCAAUGGUGUUGUUAUUUAUAGAAAACGGAGGGAAAAAAGUGAACAGAUAAAACAUUUGUUAUAAUGUAUAAACAAACUCUUGUUCAGGUUAAUAUGUGAUUCAAGUUGGCACUUGAUUGUAAUAAACUCAUUGAUUGU